UCCUCCUCCUCCUCCUCCUCCUUCUCCCCCCAGUCCAGUUUGGCCCACCAGCCUGUCAACCUCCUGAUUUACACCCGUAUUCUCUUGUCUCAGCGCAAUUAAAUCUACCUUGGAUUGGCCCUCCUGUGUCAGAGCGGUUUCAUUUUAAGAGAACAGGUCCACAUCUCCUGUGUCAGAGCGGUUUCAUUUUAAGAGAACAGGUCCACAUCUCCUGUGUCAGAGCGGUUUCAUUUUAAGAGAACAGGUCCACAUCUCCUGUGUCAGAGCGGUUUCAUUUUAAGAGAACAGGUCCACAUCUCCUGUGUCAGAGCGGUUUCAUUUUAAGAGAACAGGUCCACAUCUCCUG
ensembl:lncRNA